rnacentral:rRNA from 1 species
AUUGAACGCUGGCGGCAGGCUUAACACAUGCAAGUCGAGCGGGGGAGGUUGCUUCGGUAACUGACCUAGCGGCGGUCGGGUGAGUAAUGCUUAGGAAUCUGCCUAUUAGUGGGGGACAACAUUCCGAAAGGGAUGCUAAUACCGCAUACGCCCUACGGGGGAAAGCAGGGGAUCUUCGGACCUUGCGCUAAUAGAUGAGCCUAAGUCGGAUUAGCUAGUUGGUGGGGUAAAGGCCUACCAAGGCGACGAUCUGUAGCGGGUCUGAGAGGAUGAUCCGCCACACUGGGACUGAGACACGGCCCAGACUCCUACGGGAGGCAGCAGUGGGGAAUAUUGGACAAUGGGCGGAAGCCUGAUCCAGCCAUGCCGCGUGUGUGAAGAAGGCCUUUUGGUUGUAAAGCACUUUAAGCGAGGAGGAGGCUCUUAAGGUUAAUACCCUUGAUGAGUGGACGUUACUCGCAGAAUAAGCACCGGCUAACUCUGUGCCAGCAGCCGCCGUAACAC